GCAGACUGACCGCGGCGGCCACACGGGGCUGGAUAUAAAAAGUGUGGAUGUGUCUUCACCGACUGAGACCUGCGGCUGCCAAACUCCGGAGAAACUGCUUCCGGCAGGAGGAGCGCCGGGAGGAGCACCGGGAGGAGGAUCCGCUCCGAAGCUCCGGUGUUUAUCCCGGGUACUAAACUUCCUUGCAGCUGGCACACUCCGAGUCAAACCGUGCUAAACCCAGUGUGAGUUAUCCCGCACGGCCCCGGACUCUUCUCUCUGUUGUUCCUGAGGUGCGUGCGUGUCAAACUUCUCUCACGGUGAAGCCCUCCUCUUCCUCCUCUUCCUCCUCCUCCUCCUCAGGUCCACUAAUUCCAAACUUUCCUCCAAAAUGGCGUCUCACAGAGCUGGAAAUGUGAACCAUGUGAUUUCCAAAAGGCUCUACCCCUCCGACCUGCUGCCCAAUCAUACAGCUCACCUACAGGCCGAGGAGGAGGAGGAGGAGGAGGGUCUGGGGGAGGAGAGGAGGAAGGUGAGAGUCUGAGGAAAGAGAGGAAGAGGAGGAGGGUGAGAGUCUGAGGAAAGAGAGGAAGAGGAGGAGGAGGAGGGUGAGGAAAGUCUGAGGAAAGAGAGGAAGAGGAGGAAGGUUAGGAGAGGAGGAAGGUGAGAGUCUGAGGAAAGAGAGGAAGAAGAAGAGGGUGAGGAAAGUCUGAGGAAAGAGAGGAAGAGGAGGAGGGUGAGGAGAGGAGGAAGGUGAGAGUCUGAGGAAAGAGAGGAAGAGGACGAGGGUCUGGGAGAGGAGAGGAGAGGAGGAAGGUGAGGGUCUGUGGAAGAGGAGGAGGCUGAGGAGAGGAGGAAGGUUAGAGUCUGAGGAAAAGAGAGGAAGAGGAGGAGGGUGAGAGUCUGAGGAAAGAGAGGAAGAGGAGGAGGGUGAGAGUCUGAGAAAAGAGAGGAAGAGGAGGAGGAAGGUGAGAGUCUGACGAAAGAGAGGAGGAGGGUGAGGAAAGGACAAAGGUGAGAGUCUGAGGAAAGAGGAGGAGGCUGAAGAGAGGAGGAAGGUGAGAGUCUGAGGAAAGAGAGGAAGAGGAGGAAGGUGAGGAGAGUCUGAGGAAAGAGAGGAGGAGGAAGGUGAGAGUGUGAGGAAGAGGAGGAAGGUGAGAGUCUGAGGAAAAAGAGGAGGAGGGUGAGGAGAGGAGGAAGGUGAGAGUCUGAGGAAAGAGAGGAAGAGGAGGAGGGUGAGGAGAGGAGGAAGGUGAGAGUCUGAGGAAGAGGAGGAAGGUGAGAGUCUGGGGAAGAGGAGGAAGUUGAGAGUCUGAGGAAAGAGAGGAAGAGGAGGAAAGUGAAAGUCUGGGGAAGAGGAGGAAGGUGAAAGUCUGAGGAAAGAGUGGAGGAGGAGGGUUAGGAGAGGAGAGGAGGAAGGUGAUAGUCUGAGGAAAGAGAGGAAGAGGAGGAGGGUUAGGAGAGGAGGAAGAGGAGAUGAAUCUACUCUAUCUAACCACUGAGUGUCUGUUUUCUGUAUUUUCUAUUUCUCAUGUAAAUGUUUGAUUCACGUUAAUUAAAAAGUCUAGUUUUUAUUUUCAGGAUUCUCAUACGAAGUGAUUUUAAUUUGAGUUUAUACAACUUAUUAAAUUAAGUUUCUCAAGAAACAGACAAAGUGCGAAUGUAGAGAAAAGCAACGUGACGGUCAUCGAUCACAUGUUCAUCACGUCUGAAUCAUUAUGAUGUCAGAGAUCAAAGUCAUAAUCUCAAAGUAGUCUCAGAGAUGAAAGGCAGAAAUGUACCAGAGCUCAUGAAUCCACGAGAGGAUCAUGUGUAUAUUGGAUGAGAUUGAAGUCGUAAACCUACAAUAAAAAUAAAUAUAAAAAGAUCUUAAAUGUAUCAGAAUAAAGGAUUAUAAAGUC